rnacentral:lncRNA from 1 species
CUGAAGAAAAAUCCUACAAAUGUAAUAAAUGUGGUAAAGCCUUUGAACGUCGUUGUAAUCUUGGAAGGCAUAAACUAAUACAUACUGGAAGAAAAUCCUACAAAUGCAAUCUGUGUGGUAAAGCAUUUGCACGACACAGUCAUCUCAAAAGGCAUGGAAGAACACAUACUGGAGAGAAACCUUACGAAUGUGAUCAAUGUGGUAAAGCCUUUGCAUCUCAUAGUUAUCUCCAAGUACAUAAAAGAAUACAUACUGGAGAGAAGCCCUAUGAAUGUGAUUGGUGUGGUAAAGCCUUUAUACGUUGUAGUCAUCUCCAAGUACAUAAGAGAAUACAUACUGGAGAGAAGCCCUAUGAAUGUAAUCAAUGUGGUAAAGCCUUUGCAUCUCAUAGUUAUCUCCAAGUACAUAAAAGAAUACAUACUGGAGAGAAGCCCUAUGAGUGUGGUUGGUGUGGUAAAGCCUUUAUACGUUGUAGUCAUCUCCAA